UUUCUGUUAACCAUACUUUCCCCAUCCUAUUUCCAUCAAUGAAACGAGUCCAUGGAAGAAGAAAAAUUAUAUAUGAUCCUUCAUAAACAAAAAGAAUACACUUAAAAAAUUAUAAUUCCAUAGAACAACACAUAUAAAAGAGAAAUAUCAAUAGUACAAAAUGAAUAUAACAUCCCUCUCUUGACCAAUGACACUUCCAAAAAAUUUAUUGUAUUAGAUGAGUCCCAUGCACUUGAAGAAGAAUUCUUUCUCCAGUGAAAGAAAUCCCAGGCAGCCAAAUUGACUCCUACUUCUGAUCGGAGUGGAAGGAUUUUGAGACAGGCUUCCAGAAGGCGGAGAAUGGCGGCUUGGUGAUAUAAGAGGCAGUCACGAAAGCAGCGUCGAGGCUCGCCAUGCGAACCAUCUCGAGCACUCCUCUCGCAAUCAUUCUCGGAAGGGACGUUUGAGCAUCGGAAAUGUCACGGACUUCGGAAAAAAAAAGGGGGGGUGAUCACGAAGCUUGGUUGCAGGAUAAGUAGGGGCCAAGGGGGUCCAAAGACAGGCAUUGUUGGCUGUUGGGAAGCGGUGGUCAAGGGAAUUCUGCAUUCCCAACCUCUAAUGCUACGUCUAAA
rnacentral:lncRNA from 1 species